rnacentral:rRNA from 1 species
UUUUUUUAUCACCGAGUGCUUGCACUCACACGAUAAAGAGUUGAGUGGCGAACGGGUGAGUAACACGUGGGCAACCUGCCCAAAAGAGGGGGAUAACACUUGGAAACAGGUGCUAAUACCGCAUAACCAUAGUUACCGCAUGGUAACUAUGUAAAAGGUGGCUAUGCUACCGCUUUUGGAUGGGCCCGCGGUGCAUUAGCUAGUUGGCGGGGUAAAGGCUUACCAAGGCAAUGAUGCGUAGCCGAACUGAGAGGUUGAUCGGCCACAUUGGGACUGAGACACGGCCCAAACUCCUACGGGAGGCAGCAGUAGGGAAUCUUCCACAAUGGGCGAAAGCCUGAUGGAGCAACGCCGCGUGGGUGAAGAAGGUCUUCGGAUCGUAAAACCCUGUUGUUAGAGAAGAAAGUGCGUGAGAGUAACUGUUCACGUUUCGACGGUAUCUAACCAGAAAGCCACGGCUAACUACGUGCCAGCAGCCGCGGUAAUACGUAGGUGGCAAGCGUUAUCCGGAUUUAUUGGGCGUAAAGGGAACGCAGGCGGUCUUUUAAGUCUGAUGUGAAAGCCUUCGGCUUAACCGGAGUAGUGCAUUGGAAACUGGGAGACUUGAGUGCAGAAGAGGAGAGUGGAACUCCAUGUGUAGCGGUGAAAUGCGUAGAUAUAU